AAUUGCUGACUCUAUUAGUCCUGGGAAGCUGCUGAGCACAGCUGAAGGCAGCUCAGUUCUCAAGAGUUUUGACCAGAAAAGGAGGCUGCAGCUGAGAACUGACUGACUAUUGAUGUGCGUGGCAUUCUGAGCCAGUAAAGAGUUUUACAUGGAAGUCUGAUUUUCAAGGAGAUGCCAAGUGGCUCACAGGAGUGGUGAUCUGAGGACUGCAGUGAUGUUUGCUGCUACUGAAGCAUCUCUGUUACAGAGCCCAAGGCUGGGGCUGGGGGGAGUCAGCUGCUGUCUUUGAUGAGAACAGGGCCCGUGGUUCAGAUGAGCACAUUGGAGCUGGAGUGAGGAUCUGACUAUCUGCUCACAAGAAUGACAUGACUGUUUAAUUGAAUUCUCUGAUGAUUGUGCAGUUCAGGAUUAAAGAAAACUAGCUGCUUUAUUCCACAGCGGAGUAACACACAUGCCAUUGCUCUGUACCUCCAGUGCACAGUGCUGGGUUUUACUGUGCUCAGUUACUCUGCCUGCACAGUAAAGCCUUUGAAAGAUCCUUAACUACAGCAGAAAAGCACAAAUCAGAAUAAAGAUGUGGCACAAAAAUUUCAUUUUCCAGCCAUCUGUCAUUU